rnacentral:rRNA from 1 species
AACGAACGCUAUCGGUAUGCUUAACACAUGCAAGUCGGACGGACUAAUUAGGGCUUGCUCCAAUUAGUUAGUGGCAGACGGGUGAGUAACACGUGGGAAUCUGCCCAUCAGUACGGAAUAACUUUUAGAAAUAAAAGCUAAUACCGUAUAUUCUCUACAGAGGAAAGAUUUAUCGCUGAUGGAUGAGCCCGCGUCAGAUUAGGUAGUUGGUGAGGUAACGGCUCACCAAGCCGACGAUCUGUAGCUGGUCUGAGAGGAUGAUCAGCCACACUGGGACUGAGACACGGCCCAGACUCCUACGGCAGGCAGCAGUGGGGAAUAUUGGACAAUGGGCGAAAGCCUGAUCCAGCAAUACCGAGUGAGUGAUAAAGGCCCUAGGGUUGUAAAGCUCUUUUAGCAAGGAAGAUAAUGACGUUACUUGCAGAAAAAGCCCCGGCUAACUCCGUG